rnacentral:rRNA from 1 species
UACGAAGGGUGCAAACGUUGUCCGGAAUUACUGGGCGUAAAGCGCACGCAGGCGGCUUGGCAAGUCGGAUGUGAAAUCCCUCGGCUCAACCAAGGAAGUGCAUCCGAAACUGCCGAGCUUGAGUACUUAAGAGGAUCGCGGAAUUCCCGGUGUAGAGGUGAAAUUCGUAGAUAUCGGGAGGAACACCAGUGGCGAAGGCGGCGAUCUGGGAAGAUACUGACGCUGAGGUGCGAAAGCGUGGGGAGCAAACGGG